ACGUGUAUUUAUAUAAUAAAUUUGGUUGUGUAUUUACCACAUGUAAAUUUUAUAUACUUAAUGCAGCUGUUAUAUAUGUGUUCCUCCCUAUCCCUGUGCUUCUAUACGUCACAAACUAUAGAGUUAAGUGGACAGGAUUAGAACUAGCCACGGGAAGUCACUUGGACCAAGCUUCUAGUUCGUGACCUACGAAUGUGGUUUUGUGCGUGAGGAAUAUUUAGCAAUGGUUUGUAGAUGUCGAGGUCGCUGAUAUCUGUUUCAAGAAUUUUCUACAUUUCUCAGGAGAUCGGAAGUAUGACAUCCCUGUCUUGGAUCCACUAGUGGUCGACAAACUUUCUCUGACACACAUGGGUUUAAACGCAUCUUCCAGCAAUUUCACCAUCGUGGGAGUGAAGGAUGCCUUUUUUGAGGAUAUCAGGAAUCUUAGGAAUUGAUCAUGAGACCGGUUGGAUGACCGAUGAGCUGUUUUUGCAAUGUCUGAAGCCAAAAAAGAAAGAGAAAAACAAAAUCAUGGAUCCGCUGUAUUAACCAGCAGUCCUUACGUAAAUGAAGUGUAGGAAAAGCUGCUGAAAAGAUAAAACAGGAUUCGAGAAAGUGUGGAAGGCAAGUGCGCGAAAGGUUUCAGUUAGAACCUGAAUGCAAGUUAUGGGCAUCCUCUGAGUGAACUGAUGUUUCGAAAAGAGAGAAAAAGUUCAUCUGUGACGUAUGCAAAUGAAAGAGAAAUGGAAAGAGAAACAUUUGAUGUGAAAACUGCCAUGAUAUGUGAAAGCCCUCUGUUCAAGAUAUCACUGUGAACAUAAGUUAUCUUUCAGUACCAAUAAAAUUCAAGAUAUAAUUUUAGAAAGAUUGUUAAUUUGGUCUUCAAUGUCCGUGUCAUUUUUCCCCGAGUAAAACGCCUAAAAUGAAAUAGAGAGUCAAAAUAUAAAACAAAUAAACAGGCAAGAAUUAUUUAUUUCUGUGCUUUAUUACAGCUAUCAUGUCAUUACCUUUUCUAUUAGACUGUAAAAAACAUCAAAAUUGGGUUCUAAAUAAUGAUAUAUUUUUUAUUUACAAUUGUCAAAAUGAUAUGAUAUUAUAGGCUUGUAUCCCCUACUAUAAUGAUGCAAAAAUAAAAACUUUGAUGAA